CCUACGGGAGGCAGCAGUGAGGAAUAUUGGUCAAUGGACGAGAGUCUGAACCAGCCAAGUAGCGUGAAGGAUGACUGCCCUAUGGGUUGUAAACUUCUUUUAUAUGGGAAUAAAAUGUUCCACGUGUGGGAUUUUGUAUGUACCAUAUGAAUAAGGAUCGGCUAACUCCGUGCCAGCAGCCGCGGUAAUACGGAGGGUCCGUGCGUUCUCCGGAUUUAUUGGGUUUAAAGGGAGCGUAGGUGGAUUGUUAAGUCAGUGGGGAAAGUUUGCGGCUCAACCGUACAAUUGCAGUUGAACAUGGCAGUCUUGAGUACAGUAGAGGCAGGCGGAAGUCGUGGUGUAGCGGUGAAAUGCUUAGAUAUCACGAAGAACUCCGAUUGCGAAGGCAGCUCACUGGACUGCAACUGACACUGAGGCUCGAAAGUGUGGGUAUCAAACAGGAUUAGAUACCCUUGUAGUC
rnacentral:rRNA from 1 species